ensembl:lncRNA
CAGUAUAGUGGUGGGGUCUGGAUAGGUAUAAACAGUAUAGUGGUGGAUCUGUAGGGUCUGGAUAGGUAUAAACAGUAUAGUGGUGUAUCUGUAGGGUCUGGAUAGGUAUAAACAGUAUAGUAGUGGGGUCUGGAUAGGUAUAAACAGUAUAGAGGUGGAUCUGUAGGGUCUGGAUAGGUAUAAACAGUAUAGUGGUGGAUCUGUAGGGUCUGGAUAGGUAUAAACAGUAUAGUGGUGGAUCUGUAGGGUCUGGAUAGGUAUAAACAGUAUAGUGGUGGAUCUGUAGGGUCUGGAUAGGUAUAAACAGUAUAGUGGUGGGGUCUGGAUAGGUAUAAACAGUAUAGUAGUGGGGUCUGGAUAGGUAUAAACAGUAUAGUAGUGUAUCUGCAGGGUCUGGAUAGGUAUAAACAGUAUAGUGGUGGGGUCUUGAUAG